CUCUCUAACCCCUCUAAUAAAGUGUUCAACCCCACCAAAACUUUGCUUCACCCCUCCUAUUAUGUGUGAAAGGCUUUAACCCAAAAGGCUUUAACCCAAACGGCUAACCCUGCUGAAGCUCACUGAGUGGUGCCGCUUGCACCCCACCAGAAUUUUUUCUACCCCUCCUUUUAAAUAAAUGAAAAUCCGCCCUUGUGUAAAGGUAUAUUGGUGUUCAUACUGUAAAUUAUCUAGUUAUUUACAACUAUUUAUGUGUGACGGCAGUGAGUCUCCCCGAAUACAUUAUACAUGCAG